CUAAACUUGUCAUAGGCACGAUAGAAAGUACAUGAAUUGAGUGUGUUUUGUUGACAUACCGAGGGAUGUUUCUGGUAGAUAUUCGGACGUGCAUUUUGUAAAUGGAGGCUCCUUUUGCAGUCAAGGCUUCAGUCCGUUUCCGUGGUGUACAUGCCUGGUGUGUGGCUGAUUUUGGUUUCUGUUGGUUUCUGUGACUGUUGAUGGCCGGGAUUGUCAGUUAUUGUACAUACUAAAUUCUGUUCUUUACAAAACAGGGUCUUCCCUGGUUCACCUUCUGUUGUAAUUUCUGUUUUAUGUCGUGGUCAGUGGUUGUCGGGAACCUAGACCAUUACAUAAUCUGCUUUGUGUCGCUCUCUUGGGUCCCGAACCAAGAGAACAACACAGGCCAGAAAGGACGACAGGUGGUAGAAGAACCUAUUUGAUAUUAGUAGUAGUUAAUACCUGUAGAAAUACUCGACUUCUCGGCGUAGACACAGUCACAGAAACCGAAUCAGCCGUUUAUCGGGCUUGUAUACCGCAGAAACAGACUGAAACAGCCAUAGCUCUCGAAAUUUAAACCGAAACAAACGUCAACAUUACUUGGGACUUCAUCAAAGCACACUCAAUCGUUACUACACUUAAAUUCUUCCCACUAUUUCAAUGUUAAACCUAGAACGGAAAUUUUAAUCACAAACAAAGUUAACUUUCUGUACUUUAAUUAAGUGUAAGGCAUAUUUCCUAUAUUUCUGAGCCAAAAUUCAUUUUCGUCUUGUCUUUUCUACCGAGGAUCAUCGCACCGUAAGAAGAAAUGUCCGGACGUGGAAAGGGAGGCGAGGACUGACGAGGAAGGAAGGUACCGGACGUGACCGAAUGGAGAUUCGCAGUCUUACAGCACAUAUGACAAGAAACACCUACAUGCCGUAAGAGAGGAAAGGAACUGGGGAAUUGAGAUGUCAAUCGCCUGUCACUGCUGCCUAGUGCAUCCAGUGCAUCACCGAGCCAAGGAGGCGUCCAGUCUUUCCAAGACAUAUGACAAGGACUUAAGUGUGAACAGCUUAGCUGUGAGGCAGCUGAUGCGUGCAGACGUCCUGGCCCUGCAUGUGAACCUGUUCGCAAGUA